rnacentral:rRNA from 1 species
CUGCUGCCUCCCGUAGGAGUCUGGGCCGUGUCUCAGUCCCAGUGUGGCCGUCCACCCUCUCAGGCCGGCUGCUGAUCGUCGCUUUGGUGGGCCGUUACCCCGCCAACUGGCUAAUCAGACGCGGGCCCAUCCUGUACCACCGGAGUUUUCAAAGGAUUACCAUGCGGUAUUCCCUAUUAUGCGGUAUUAGCACCUAUUUCUAAGUGUUAUCCCCCGGUGCAGGGCAGGUUGCCCACGCGUUACUCACCCGUCCGCCACUAAGACAG